AGUGAACGCUGGCGGUAGGCCUAACACAUGCAAGUCGAACGGCAGCACAGUAAGAGCUUGCUCUUACGGGUGGCGAGUGGCGGACGGGUGAGGAAUACAUCGGAAUCUACUUUUUCGUGGGGGAUAACGUAGGGAAACUUACGCUAAUACCGCAUACGACCUACGGGUGAAAGCAGGGGAUCUUCGGACCUUGCGCGAUUGAAUGAGCCGAUGUCGGAUUAGCUAGUUGGCGGGGUAAAGGCCCACCAAGGCGACGAUCCGUAGCUGGUCUGAGAGGAUGAUCAGCCACACUGGAACUUAGACACGGUCCAGACUCCUACGGGAGGCAGCAGUGGGGAAUAUUGGACAAUGGGCGCAAGCCUGAUCCAGCCAUACCGCGUGGGUGAAGAAGGCCUUCGGGUUGUAAAGCCCUUUUGUUGGGAAAGAAAAGCAGCAGGUUAAUACCCCGCAGUUCUGACGGUACCCAAAGAAUAAGCACCGGCUAACUUCGUG
rnacentral:rRNA from 1 species